UACGUAGGGUGCAAGCGUUGUCCGGAAUUAUUGGGCGUAAAGAGCUCGUAGGCGGUUUGUCGCGUCUGCUGUGAAAUCUGGAGGCUCAACCUCCAGCCUGCAGUGGGUACGGGCAGACUAGAGUGCGGUAGGGGAGAUUGGAACUCCUGGUGUAGCGGUGGAAUGCGCAGAUAUCAGGAAGAACACCGAUGGCGAAGGCAGAUCUCUGGGCCGUAACUGACGCUGGAGGAGCGAAAGCAUGGGGAGCGAACAGG
rnacentral:rRNA from 1 species